GUGCUAAGGUAGCAUAAUCAUUUGCUACUUAAUUGGUAGCUGGGAUGAAAGGUUAAACUAGUUUACUCAGUUUGUUGUGUUUUGUAAGAAAUUAAAGUCGAGGUAAGAAUUCUUUGAUCUGCUAGGGGACGAUAAGACCCUAGAAGCUUAACAAUAAGAGUAUUUAUUAGUUAUAAAAAUUAAUUUGUUUUACUGGGGCGGUAAAGGUAUAUAAACUAUUAGUGUAUUGAUAGAUCCUUAAAAUAAAGAUAAAACGGGAAAGUUACUCUAGGGGUAACAGUGCAAUAUUUUUGGAGAGAUCAUAUCGAUAAAAAUGUUUGCAACCUCGAUGUUGAAUUAAGAUGUCUACGUGAAGCAGCAGGUACGUGAGAAGGUUUGUUCAACCUUUAAAUUUUUACAUGAUCUGAUUCAAACCG
rnacentral:rRNA from 1 species